GGAAAACGCAAGGUGUGACAGGUGUGACGAUUGUGCUUUUACACAGCGAAAUUACCAGGGUUGAAGAACUGAAAUGAACCACGUGGAAUCACUUACUACCAGGACAUGUUACCCCUGCCAGGACAGUGGCUAGCUGUCGUUGAAUUUUUAGGUGAAAAGACUACGAGCGCAGUUCCAUGUUCGUGGCUUGAAGAAGGUCACAGACGGUGCAGGUGGCCAACCAAAGUUACCGACAAGAGGCGAGAGGAGAUGGUACAAAGAAAUGUUCCACCAGGGCCAUGGAGGCUUUUUGCGGUCAGAGUGCUAGGCU